AGAUUUCAAUAUGUUACAGGUCAGCAGCAUGUUUACAUUAAGUGAUUAAUAUUGUGAUUUUUUUUAUUUGAUUGAUGUUUUUGAUCAGUUGUAGGACGUUAAUUUGAGCAUGUUCACAACCAAGGUUUUAAGUGUCCGUCAACACAGGCCAUAUCCAUCGUACCGUACCAUGCCAACAAGAUACCGGUACGAUACAAACCCCGUACCGAUGCGACAACUUAAAACUCUCUAUUCUUUCAAUUAGUGAGUAAUUUUCUCAAUAAAGUUCAAAUGAUGUGAUAAAAAGACAUAAUAAAUAAUUAGAAUAUUUUGUUGCUAAAGAAAAUAAAUAUUUCAUAUUAUUAUAUAUCGGCACACAAGAAUUUUUUUGACUGGCACGCAUCGGCAUGGCUCGGCACGCAACGUGCCGUACUGUGUCAGUAAGUUUCCGGCAUGUCCCUAUACCACGGCACUUAAAAUUC
rnacentral:lncRNA from 1 species